rnacentral:rRNA from 1 species
AUGGGAAACAGGUUAAUAUUCCUGUACUUGGUGUUACUGCGAAGGGGGGACGGAGAAGGCUAUGUUAGCCGGGCGACGGUUGUCCCGGUUUAAGCAUGUAGGCUGAUUGUCCAGGCAAAUCCGGAUAAUCAAGGCUGAGGUGUGAUGACGAGGCACUACGGUGCUGAAGUAACAAAUGCCCUGCUUCCAGGAAAAGCCUCUAAGCAUCAGG